rnacentral:rRNA from 1 species
AUUGAACGCUGGCGACAGGCCUAACACAUGCAAGUCGAACGAAGCCUUCGGGCUUAGUGGCGGACGGGUGAGUAACACGUGGGAACGUACCUUUUGGUUCGGAACAACUCAGGGAAACUUGAGCUAAUACCGGAUGAGCCCUUAGGGGGAAAGAUUUAUCGCCGAAAGAGCGGCCCGCGUUAGAUUAGCUAGUUGGUGAGGUAAAGGCUCACCAAGGCAACGAUCUAUAGCUGGUCUGAGAGGAUGAUCAGCCACACUGGGACUGAGACACGGCCCAGACUCCUACGGGAGGCAGCAGUGGGGAAUCUUGCGCAAUGGGCGAAAGCCUGACGCAGCCAUGCCGCGUGAAUGAUGAAGGUCUUAGGAUUGUAAAAUUCUUUUACCAGGGACGAUAAUGACGGUACCUGGAGAAAAAGCCCCGGCUAACUUCGUGCCAGCAGCCGCGGUAAGAC